CCUACGGGAGGCAGCAGUAGGGAAUCUUCCACAAUGGGCGAAAGCCUGAUGGAGCAACGCCGCGUGGGUGAAGAAGGUCUUCGGAUCGUAAAACCCUGUUGUUAGAGAAGAAAGUGCGUGAGAGUAACUGUUCACGUUUCGACGGUAUCUAACCAGAAAGCCACGGCUAACUACGUGCCAGCAGCCGCGGUAAUACGUAGGUGGCAAGCGUUAUCCGGAUUUAUUGGGCGUAAAGGGCACGCAGGCGGUCUUUUAAGUCUGAUGUGAAAGCCUUCGGCUUAACCGGAGUAGUGCAUUGGAAACUGGGAGGCUUGAGUGCAGAAGAGGAGAGUGGAACUCCAUGUGUAGCGGUGAAAUGCGUAGAUAUAUGGAAGAACACCAGUGGUGAAAGCGGCUCUCUGGUCUGUAACUGACGCUGAGGUUCGAAAGCGUGGGUAGCAAACAGGAUUAGAUACCCCUGUAGUC
rnacentral:rRNA from 1 species